rnacentral:rRNA from 1 species
AUGAGGCUUGAUCAUCAGAACAUUGUACAGUUAGUCGGCUAUUGCUACGAAACACAUCAUAAACCUAUGCUGCACAAUGGAGAAACCAUUUACGCUGAAGAAACAAACAGAGUGCUCUGUUUUGAGUAUAUGCCAAAUGGGAGCCUUCGAAAUCAUAUUUCUGAGGAAUGUGAUGGACUUGACUGGCAGACACGUUAUGAAAUUAUCAAAGGAAUAUGUGAGGGCUUAAAAUACCUUCAUGAAGGAUUCAAAGAACCAAUUUACCAUAUGGACUUAAAACCUGAUAAUAUACUGCUAGAUGAGAAUAUGAUGCCAAAACUAGCUGAUUUUGGCUUGUCUAAGCUCUACGAUGGAGAACAAUCGAUGAUCACUCAAAUUCUUACAGGAACAAUUGGAUACUUGCCACCGGAAUAUUUAUUUGAACACAUAGUCUCGAAGAAGUUGGACAUAUUCAGUCUUGGUGUUGUAGUGACGAAGAUAAUUACGGGACCUAGAGGCCCCACUAGAAGGGGUGAAAUGACACAACAAGAGUUUACUAAUCAACAACAAUAUUAUUAG